CCUACGGGAGGCAGCAGUGGGGAAUAUUGCACAAUGGGGGAAACCCUGAUGCAGCGACGCCGCGUGAGUGAAGAAGUAAUUCGUUACGUAAAGCUCUAUCAGCAGGGAAGAAAUACUGACCUUACGGUCAGCAGACGGUACCUGAGUAAGAAGCCCCGGCGAACUACGUGCCAGCAGCCGCGGUAAUACGUAGGGGGCAAGCGUUAUCCGGAUUUACUUGGGGUAAAGGGUGCGGAGACGGUGCGCCAAGUAUGGAGUGAAAUGUCGGAGGUUAAAUGCGGAACUGCUUUGGAAACUGGCGAACUUGAGUGCGGGAGGGGUAAGCGGAAUGCGUGGUGUAGCGGUGAAAUGCGUAGAUAUUAGGAAGAACACCGGUGGCGAAGGCGGCUUACCGGAGCGUAACUGACGUUGAGGCACGAAAGCGUGGGGAGCAAACAGGAUUAGAUACCCGGGUAGUC
rnacentral:rRNA from 1 species